AGCAGCCGCGGUAAUUCCAGCUCCAAUAGCGUAUAUUAAAGUUGUUGCAGUUAAAAAGCUCGUAGUUGAACUUCGGGGUUUACUCAUUGGUCAGGCUUAAUUGUCUGUACUGGUGAGAUGAAUCUCUACCUUCUGAGGAACUUUCAUGCCAUUAAUUUGGUGUGUUGGGAAAUCAGGACUGUUACUUUGAAAAAAUUAGAGUGUUUAAAGCAGGCUAACGUCUGAAUACAUUAGCAUGGAAUAAUGAAAUAGGACGGAUUGAUUCUAUUUCGUUGGUUUCUAGGGUCACCGUAAUGAUUAAUAGGGAUAGUUGGGGGCAUUAGUAUUCAAUUGUCAGAGGUGAAAUUCUUGGAUUUAUUGAAGACUAACUACUGCGAAAGCAUUUGCCAAGGAUGUUUUCAUUAAUCAAGAACGAAAGUUAGGGGAUCGAAGACGAUCAGAUACCGUCGUAGUCUUAACCAUAAACUAUGCCGACUAGGGAUCGGAUGAUGUUAAUUUUUAAUGACUCAUUCGGCGUCCG
rnacentral:rRNA from 1 species